rnacentral:rRNA from 1 species
GAUGAACGCUAGCGGGAGGCCUAACACAUGCAAGCCGAGCGGUAUUGUUUCUUCGGAACUGAGAGAGCGGCGUACGGGUGCGUAACACGUGUGCAACCUGCCUUAUCUGGGGGAUAGCCUUUCGAAAGGAAGAUUAAUACUCCAUAAUAUAUUGAACGGCCUCGUUUAAUAUUGAAAGCUCCGGCGGAUAGAGAUGGGCACGCGCAAGAUUAGCUAGUUGGUGAGGUAACGGCUCACCAAGGCGAUGAUCUUUAGGGGGCCUGAGAGGGUGAUCCCCCACACUGGUACUGAGACACGGACCGGACUCCUACGGGAGGCAGCAGUGAGGAAGAUUGGUCAAUGGGUGCAAGCCUGAACCAGCCAUCCCGCGUGAAGGACGACUGCCCUAUGGGUUGUAAACUUCUGUUGUAUAGGGAUAAACCUACACUCGAGAGGGUAGCUGAAGGUACUAUACGAAUAAGCACCGGCUAACUCCGUG